AUUGAACGCUGGCGGCAUGCCUUACACAUGCAAGUCGAACGGCAGCACGGGAGCAAUCCUGGUGGCGAGUGGCGAACGGGUGAGUAAUAUAUCGGAACGUGCCCGGUCGUGGGGAUAACGUAGCGAAAGCUACGCUAAUACCGCAUACGAUCUACGGAUGAAAGCGGGGGAUCGCAAGGCCUCGCGCGAUUGGAGCGGCCGAUAUCAGAUUAGGUAGUUGGUGAGGUAAAGGCUCACCAAGCCGACGAUCUGUAGCUGGUCUGAGAGGACGACCAGCCACACUGGGACUGAGACACGGCCAGACUCCUACGGGAGGCAGCAGUGGGAAUUUGGACAAUGGGCGCAAGCCUGAUCCAGCAAU
rnacentral:rRNA from 1 species